ACGGGGUGAAUAUCCCAAGGCGCGUGAGAGAACCCUGGUUAAGGAACUCUGCAAAUUGACACCGUAACUUCGGGAGAAGGUGUGCCGCUGGCGGUUAGUGACUUCGCGUCACGAAGCUGUUGGUGGUCGCAGUGAAAUGGCGGUUGUGACUGUUUACUAAAAACACAGGACUCUGCGAAGUCGUAAGACGACGUAUAGAGUCUGAUGCCUGCCCGGUGCUGGAAGGUUAAGGGGAUAUGUCAGAGCAAUCGAAGCAUUGAACCGAAGCCCCAGUAAACGGCGGCCGUAACGAUAACGGUCCUAAGGUAGCGAAAUUCCUUGUCGGGUAAGUUCCGACCUGCACGAGGGCAUAACAACAUCCGCACUGUCUCGACCAGGGACUCAGCGAAAUUACAUUGGGGGUGAAGAUGCCCUCUACCCGCGGAAAGACGGAAAGACCCCAUGAACCUUUACUGCAACUUGGCAGUGAUUUUCGGGUUGUUCUGCGUAGGAUAGGUGGGAGGCUUUGAAGUCGGGCUUCCGGGUUCGACAGAGCCAACGUUGAAAUACCACCCUGAAUAAUCUGGAAAUCUAACCUGCGCCCAUGAUCUGGGCGAGGGACACUGCCUGGUGGGCAGUUUGACUGGGGCGGUCGCCUCCUAAAUUGUAACGGAGGCGUGCGACGGUUCCCUCAGGCUGAUUGGAAACCAGCCGUAGAGUGCAAACGCAUAAGGGAGCUUUACUGCGAGACUGACAAGUCGAACAGUUGCAAAAGCAGGUGUUAGUGAUCCGGUGGUACCACAUGGAAGGGCCAUCGCUCAUCGGAUAAAAGGUACUCUGGGGAUAACAGGCUGAUCGCGCCUGAGAGUUCACAUCGGCGGCGCGGUUUGGCACCUCGAUGUCGGCUCAUCGCAUCCUGGGGCUGGAGCAGGUCCCAAGGGUUUGGCUGUUCGCCAAUUAAAGCGGUACGCGAGCUGGGUUUAAAACGUCGUGAGACAGUUUGGUCCCUAUCUUCCGUGGGCGCAGGACACUUGAGAGGAGCUAUCCAUAGUACGAGAGGACCUGGAUGGACGAACCUCUGGUGCUCCGGUUGUCACGCCAGUGGCAUAGCCGGGUAGCCAUGUUCGGAACAGAUAACCGCUGAUGCAUAUAAGCGGGAAGCUGGCCUCAAGACUAGGUGUCCCUGACGCAAGUCACUAAAGGCCCCUCGAAGACUACGAGGUUGAUAGGCUAGGUGUGGAAGCACAGCGAUGUGCGGAGCUAACUAGUACUAAUAGGCCGUGCGACUUGACCUC
rnacentral:rRNA from 1 species